CCUACGGGUGGCUGCAGUGGGGAAUAUUGCACAAUGGGCGCAAGCCUGAUGCAGCCAUGCCGCGUGUAUGAAGAAGGCCUUCGGGUUGUAAAGUACUUUCAGCAGUGAGGAAGGUGGGUAUGUUAAUAGCAUACUCAUUUGACGUUAGCUGCAGAAGAAGCACCGGCUAACUCCGUGCCAGCAGCCGCGGUAAUACGGAGGGUGCGAGCGUUAAUCGGAAUUACUGGGCGUAAAGCGCAUGCAGGUGGUUUGUUAAGUCAGAUGUGAAAGCCCGGGGCUCAACCUCGGAAUUGCAUUUGAAACUGGCAAACUAGAGUACUGUAGAGGGGGGUAGAAUUUCAGGUGUAGCGGUGAAAUGCGUAGAGAUCUGAAGGAAUACCGGUGGCGAAGGCGGCCCCCUGGACAGAUACUGACACUCAGAUGCGAAAGCGUGGGGAGCAAACAGGAUUAGAUACCCUAGUAGUC
rnacentral:rRNA from 1 species